rnacentral:misc_RNA from 1 species
UUUCCGUAGGUGAACCUGCGGAAGGAUCAUUAAAACACGAUUUCCAAUCGUAUUAACCAACCGCGCACUCGUUUCGUUUUCUAACUGCAUCAGAGCUAAACAGGAUGAGAGUUGAGACAGCGUAGCCCUCGAGCUUGCUCUCAUUCCCGCCGAGACCUCUUCGGAGCGUCGAGGAAGCUCUGUUACAGUACGCUGUUGCGCUCACAGAGCCGCAAGGCUUUGUUGGGUCGCUGAUAUUUCUAUUUACCCUUCUUUACAAGUUGUACUAAAAUGUUUCAUUUGGUGUACGAAACAAAAGAACAACUCUUAGCAACGGAUAUCUAGGCUCUC